GGGGAUGUAGCUCAGUGGUAGAGUGCGCCCUUAACGUGCACGAAGUCCUGUGUUCAUUCCCAGCGGCUCCA
rnacentral:tRNA from 1 species